CCCACUCCGGUGUUCUUGCCUGGAGAAUCCCAGGGACGGGGGAGCCUGGGGGGCUGCCGUCUAUGGGGUCGCACAGAGUCGGACAGGACUGAAGCGACUUAGCCAGCAGCAGCCUCACAAUGGCGUCCCCUGCCCCUACGGUGAAUUCUGUGUUCCCUGAGGUUACCGAAGCUGCUGCACUCACUUUUUAAAAUUUUUUAAGAAGCAAUCUUUUGCUUCGUUGCAUGAUAGGAAAGCUGGUUGGAAGCCGCGGAUCUGAUGGCCACAGGAGGUGCUGAGAUCCUGCAGGCCUCUCUCAGCGGCGUGCGCCCGGCAUCUCCACCCGAGAUAUGGCGGCCGUGGCUCCUAGUGUCAGGGUCGGCUGUGCCGCUCCUCCACCCUGGGCUGCAGGUCUUUUUCCAUGCCAUUUCCCCCACCCCCCCCCCCCCCCCCCGACCCCAUAGGAGGGAAAUGAGUGAGUCAUUCAGAAAAGCUCUCCCCCACAGCUAGCUUCUCUAUCCCAGCCUACAGGGUCUCUCAUCGCAUGUCCUUAAAAUAGCUUCUCUCUCUGGCAGACUAAUUUCCAUGGAGAUCCAACGAUCUGAAGGCCUAGAAGCAUUCUGCAAGGCAGCAAGCCCAGCUCGAAGCCUUCACUCCAGCAGAAGAAGAGCCUUUGUGAUGCAAAUGUGUGGUCUCACCACCCCCCACCCCAGACACCACCCCUCUCCAGCCCCCGCCUUUCAGCUUCCUUUCUGGGAAACCCACUCUGUGUGGGAACAGCCCCGGCAGGUAGAGUCCAGGCAGUCUCCUUUCCCCUCAGCUCCCAGCGUUCCACCAUCACUGGGCUGGGCUGGGAGUGAUUCUACACCAGGUGUGAAGGCUCGCGGUCUUCCCUAAACCACAUGUUAAAGGCGUGUGCUGGGCCUUAGGGUCAGCAUGCUGAUCGAAGGGGACCACCUCAAGGAGGGCUGCGUUUCUGAGCCUCAGCCUCCUCAUCUGUAGAAUGGGCAGAAGGGAGCCUUGAGCGUGGUGUGGAUGUGCGGAUUCAGUGACCACGCAUCUGCACCUGGCACAUCAUAGGUGUCCGGAUCCAGGUCAAGGCUCUACUGCCUGAAGCCAAAGGACCGCUGUGUUUCUGCAGCUGGAAGGAAGCACUUCGGAUCUAUAAGGCAGGGGUCCCCAACCCCGGGCCAUGGACUGGUACCUAUCAGCGGCCUGUUAGGAACUAGGUCACACAGCAGGAGGUGAGCAGCAGAGCAAACAUCAAAGAAGGGGAUUCCUAAGGAGCUAUGUGUCAUCCAGUGGUCUCCAGUUCCACUUCCAUAUUUCUUCCGUAUUUCUGGGUUUUGACCCUUUUCUGCCCCCAUUCUGGUCCAUGAGGGAAAGCUCAUGUGGAAGACAGACUUCGCUGAAAUUUGGGGUCAAGAUUUGGUUGCCUCAUCACAAAAUAUCGCAGCCAACAAUUCACAAAUAACUAGUAGAUGUCUUUGUUCUGAAAAUUCUAACGUCACCUGGCCAGCAGAAAUUUCUCUCUGAGCUACUUUCUCUGGGAUGUCCCACCCCCUGUGCUGACCCCACCUCUGCUUAGAGCUCCCCACAAUCUUCUAACUUUGUGCUGUGGAAUAACAUGGCUCUCCAUUGCAUGCAAAGCCCAUCCUUGCCAUGUCUGGGGGUCGUCACUUUACUAUAGCCAUUACUCUCCAAGUUGGUCUGCUGCAAGAAGAUGGUAUUCUCUCUGAAAAACUCCAUUACUAACUUUUAGACCCAUGUUUUCUUGUGGCAGAAAGUGAAGAAGAACUAAAGAGCCUCUUGAUGAACGUGAAAGAGGAGAGCUUAAAACUCAACAUUCAGAAAACUAAGAUCAUGACAUCUGGUCCCAUCACUUCAGGGCAAAUAGUUGGGGAAACAAUGGAAAUAGUGACAGACUUUAUUUUGGGGGGCUCCAAAAUCACUGCAGAUGGUGACUGCAGCCAUGAAAUAAAAAGAUGCUUGCUCCUUGGAAGAAAAGCUAUGACCAACCUAGACAGCAUAUUAAAAAGCAGAGAAAUUACUUUGCCAACAAAGGUCCAUCUAGUCAAAGCUAUGGUUUUUCCAGUAGUCACAUAUGGAUGUGAGAGUUGGACUAUAAAGAAACCUGAGUGCCGAAGAACUGAUGCUUUUGAACUGUGGUGUUGGAGAAGACUGUUGAGAGUUCCUUGGACUGAAAGGAUAUCAAACCAGUCCAUCCUAAAGGAGAUCAGUCCUGAAUAUUCAUUGGAAGGAUUGAGGCUGAAGCUGAAACUCCAAUACUUUGGCCACCUGAUUCGAAGAACUGACUCAUUGGAAAAGACCCUGAUGCUGGGAAAGAUUGAAGGAGAGAGGAGAAGGGGUCAAUAGAGGAUGGGAUGGUUGGAUGGCCUCACUGACUUGAUGGACAUGAGUUUGAGCAAACUCUGAGAGUUGGUAUUGGACAGGGAGGCCUAGCGUGCUGCAGUCCAUGGGUCGCAGAGUCUGACAUGACUAACGUCAUGAACUGAACUGAAUUUUCCCUUCUUUUUACAUAUAGAUGCAUCACUGAGCUGUCUCCUGGCUCCCUUCUCUCUUAUUUUUUAAUAUUUUUAGAAAUUUACUUAUUCGGCUGUGCUGGGUGUCAGUGGUGUACAAGAUCUUUAGUUGCAGCAGGUGAACUCUUAGUUUUAGCACUCGAGAUCUUACUUGCAGCUCGUGGGACCUAGUUUCCUGACUGGGGAUUGAACCUGGGCCCCCUGCCUCGGGAGUGCAGGGUUUUAGCCACUGGACCUCCCUUCUUUAUUAACUAGAACGAAUGAGCUCCAAUCCAAACUUGUGUCAUCCACUUAGCCAGAAUCUGAGUCAAAGAAACCCACCCUCAGUAGCUAUUGUACUGAAGCAACCUUCCAAGGGUCCCACUCCCCACCCCACAUGGCUUAUUUGCUCAUCUAAUAUGUAAAUAUAUUAAGUACCUCCCACAUACUAGACAUACAUAGUCUAGUUUUAAUAUUAGCUAUUUAAUAUUAGCUAUUUAACUCUUCCCUAAAAAGCAUUUUUCAGGAGGCUGGUAAGAGUAUAAAAAACCUUUCCAUAUCAUCUCCUUGUUUCUGACAAACACUAGUCCACUUUUAGGCCAAUUGAAGAAACCCAAGUCUAACCAUCCCAGUCACCCAUUGUCA